GACUGAACACAGAGGACUCACCAUGGAGUCUGGGCUGAGCUGGGUCUUCCUUGUUGCUAUUUUUAAAGGUGUCCUGUGUGAGGUGCAGCUGGUGGAGUCUGGGGGAGGCUGGGUUCAGCCCGGGGGGUCCCUUAGACUCUCCUGUGCAGCCUCUGGAUUCACCUUCAGUAGCCAUGACAUAUACUGGGUUCGCCAGGCUCCAGGGAAGGGUCUGGAGUGGGUCUCAGCUAUUAAUUCUAGUGGUGUCACAUACUAUGCAGACUCUGUGAAGGGCAGAUUCACCAUCUCCAGAGACAAUGCCAAGAACUCUGUGUAUCUUCAAAUGAACAGCCUGAGAGUGGAGGACACGGCUGUGUAUUACUGUGGAAGACACACAGUGAGGUGA